GACGAACCGUGCGAACGUUAUUCGGAAUCACUGGGCUUAAAGCGCGUGUAGGCGGAUGGGAACGUCGGUAGUUGAAAGCCCCCGGCUCAACCGGGGAAGUGGUGCCGAAACGACCCGUCUGGAGGGACGUAGGGGGACCUGGAACUUCCGGUGGAGCGGUGAAAUGCGUUGAGAUCGGAAGGAACGCCCGUGGCGAAAGCGAGGUCCUGGACGUCUACUGACGCUGAGACGGCG
rnacentral:rRNA from 1 species